rnacentral:lncRNA from 1 species
GUGGGAUCUGAGCCGCGUCUGCGACCUACACCACAGCUCACGGCAACGCCGGAUCCUUAACCCACUGAGCGAGGCCAGGGAUCAAACCCACAACCUCAUGGUUCCUAGUUGGAUUCGUUAACCACUGAGCCGCGAAGGGAACUCCGCACAUGUCCCCUUUUAUAUGAUACAUCUAGAAGAAGCAAAUCUGUAACUACAGACAAGCAGAAUAGAGGUUAUCAGGGGUUGGAAGAAAGAGGGAAUAGGGAAUGAUUAAGAAGUAGAGUUUUGAAAUUAGAGCAAGCUAGUUGCACAAAAUUCUGAAUACACUACAUACCAACGAACUAUACACUUUAAAAGCAUUAAUUAUAUCUGAUGUGAAUUUUGCCUCAAUAAAAGAAAAUCUGGUUGGACUAUAGUUUAUUCAUUGAUUGAUUCAUACAAAUACCUGAGUAUCUAACAUAUUCCAGGCACUCUCCUAGUAAAUGGAUUAAGGUGAUGGACAAAAAUUUUCUGCUGUGAAUUUAAAAAAGUAAAGUAAGGAGUUCCUGUUGUGGCUCAGUGGUAAUGAACCUGACUAGUAUCUGUGAGGAUGCAGGUUCAAUCCCUGGUCCCAUUCAGUGGAUUAAGGAUCAGGUGUUGCCAUGAGCUGCGGCUGUGGUGUAGGCUGACGGCUAUGGCUCUGAUUCAGAAGAAAAUAAUGGGGUUAUCUAUAGAUACUCCUUUUUGUGCAAAUAUACAAUGAUUUUUAGUUUCCAGAUAUUUUAUUCUUGGUUACAAAUAACCUCUUUACAAUCCAAUAAUGUGCAUCUUCCUUCUGCUCCUACUUGCCCUGCAGGGCCAGGUCGUACUCCCAAGACAGCUAACAAGGCCUGUUCUCCCUUUAGGAAAUCCCUCAGGAAAGGAAUCACCACGCGUGAUGCUAGGUCCUCACAUUUGCUCAUGUUCUCACUUAAUCUUCACAAUCACCUCUUCAGAGAUGAAAAAACUGAGUUCAGAGAAGACAAGUCACUAUCAGUUAGUCAAAGGAAGAGCCAGAAGUCACCUCAGGUGUGACUUCAGACCCAGACUCCUUACAUACACAAUUCGCCUCCUCUGAGAUGGUCUAAGCACAUCCUAGGCCAGACUGGAAAGAAAAAAAAAAAUGAAGUGACACUGUCCUUGAGGAGCCUGUCUUGUCAACACUGAGGCCCGACCAAGACACAUCAGAGCGUCCCUCGAGCUGGAGGAGGCGGGGCAGGCUCCAGAAACACGAGGGCUUUGGUAUCCAUCCCAGGCCACUGCCCUGACCCCAAAAGGCCUGCCUUGCUGGAAGAACUAAGAAAUCCAUCUUCUACCAGAACUCGAGGAGCCGGAUCUCGAGGCCUCCGUGCCCAGCUGUGUCCUCUUGGUUGGCGCGCUCUCUCCCUGGACUAGGUACCGACGGCUAUGAAACAAGCCCUCACCCUUGUCCAGCCAUCGCUGACCCUGCCUGGUUCCAUGUUCCAAACUUCACAGUGGUUCCGGCAGAAGGGCCACAUAAAAGCUUCUCCAGAAUAGCCAAUGAUGUCAUUCCCUUGCUAGCUGUGGAGAAGGCUUCUUUGUCUUGAACUCGUAAGUAAUCCACAGUUAUCAUGAAAUUCCAGACAAAUGGGUUUGAAUCUGCCUCUGCUGGGCUGCAACCAGCUCUCUAGAGUGACCAGACCUCCGGGACUUGUUCACUACUAAUCAGCUAAUGUUUGUAACUGUAAAGACAUAAUGACUAAAUACUACCAUCAUUACUAGACUACCAGUUUAAAUGGAAAUGAAGAGAGAGAGAGAGAAGAGAACGCACGUUAGUAAAUCAGCUUUGGGACGGUUCCUUGGCAAGAAGGACAGGGGCAAAGGACGCUUUAACUGAACUCAUUAAAGCACAUGGAAGGCGCGGUUGCUGCUGUGAGAACAUAACUCAAAGCAGAGAGAGGGAAUGGAAAUGAGUCAGUAUAGACAAAACCGAUGCUGUAGGAAAGGAAAGCCUGCAUGAUAACCCGAUGCUGGAAAAACGCACAGCUUCUAUAAGAAGCACUACACAGCAGCAAAACUAAAACAUCUAGAAUCUGAAAGCAAAACUGAAAAGUCUAGAAUAAGAACAAAAUCCAAAGCCAGAUUUUAAGUCAGCCUAAACUGACUGCAGAGCGCAGUGAUGAAAACAAGCACGUGGGUCCAAGAGGCUGCUGCUCUUCCUUCUCCCCGUCUGUAAAUGGGGGAGGGUCUCCCUAAGGCAGCCGCCCAAAGGCGGCCCCAGGGGCAGCCGGGCCCCUUCUCCUGAGCCCCCUCUCCUGAAGGCGGCCACAGGGAACCACUGCAGGCUCAGGGCCACUGACAAGGGACUCCCUCCUCGACUGGCUCACUACCACUCACCCGCCCUGCAAAAAACACCCCCAAAGUACGGUGCCCCCAGGCUCCCAGGGCACCUACCAUCACAGCACCCGCCACACUGUGUUGAAACCAAAGAUUCUUCCGGCUUAGCCACCCCACAGAGCUCCAUGAGGACAGUGACCAAACAGGAUCUCACUCGACUUUUUAGCUUUGGCAGCUAGCAUAGCUCCUGGGUACAUUCUCAAAGACUGUGGGUUGAUUAAAUAAUUUUCAAUUAUCUCAAGUUGGAAUUAGAGGCCAAGCAGCUUCCCUGGGGCCAAUCUUGGAAAAACGAAGACUGCAAGGGGAAAAACAAACAAACAAACAAACAAAAACCGGUUCGCAGGGUGAACAGUCCCUGCUUUGCCAUUGUCUGACUCCUGACUCGGGACAGUUCCUCACCCAAACUCGGAGCCUCAGCUGCCUUCCGAACAAGACGAGGGACUCAACCAGUCUCCACGGUCCUCACCAACAAGAUCGGACGUGUCACGCUGACAUCCCAGGACCUUAACACCCUGACUCCCCGACGCCUCCAUCCUCCGUUACCAUAAAAAUCAGCAUCAGCAGAAUGCUUUCGCAUCCAUUUCAUUCCUAAGGAGCAAGUAUGCACGUGGUACUUUUAGUCUCAUUUUACAGAUGGGGAAACCAGCUCAGAGAGGCCCAGCAGCCUACCCAAGGUCACUCUGCUGGCGUGGACGGGGGGCAGGGCUGACACCCAGAUCUUUAACGCUGGUGCCAUCCACCACAGCCACACUCUCAGGCUUCUCAGGUGGACAGCCUAGGGACACACGGUGGGAAUGCCAGGAGAUCCCUCCCCAGCAGGUCCUGGCGAAGCCAAGGAUGAACACAACGCAUCUUUUGGAGAAUCAAAGGUACGUAAAAUCUGAAGGGACGAAGUAUGUUUACAAUAACAUGUUUCUCAAAAAAAGACGUAUUAUUGAUACAGUGUAAAUUUCCUAUUAAAUUUUAAAAUAAAACUUAAUGGGCUUGGACUUCUAUCAAGGGUUUGAGACAUACUGCACUAACACCAUGCCAUACGCCCUUUCUCACACAGAAAACCCUUCUGAAACCAGAACACUUAAUUUACCCCAUAAUAACAUUUCAAACAUCAGGCUAUAUUAAUCCAAAAAAGGCAGAAUUUAAUUUCUGGAAUAAAGUUGUGACUUCUGGGCAUUACUGGGCAAGGAAGACCUCAAGAGAACUAGAUUCCCUGCUCCUCCUUUUUAGAUGAUUAAAAGCACCCACGAAAGUUAAAAGGUCGAAUGAAGCCUCCCAGAUUAUAAACGCCAUAAUGCAAUGAAUCAAGGAGCCAAGCGCUCUCAGAACGGUGGGGGGGGGGGGGGGCACAGUCAAGGGAGGCGGCUCCAGGGCACAUCCACCUGCAAACA